UUCAUGAUGCCAGCUGAGCGCCGCCUGCCCCUGAGCUUCGUGCUGGAUGUGCGGGAGGGCCGGGCCCAGCACCCUGGAGUCCUCUAUGUGCAGAAGCAGUGCUCCAACCUGCCCACUGAGCUGCCCCAGCUGCUGCCUGAUCUGGAAUCCCAUGUGCCCUGGGCCUCCGAAGCCCUGGGAAAGAUGCCCGAUGCUGUGAACUUCUGGCUGGGGGAGGCGGCUGCGGUGACUCUUGCCGUCUUGGGGUGCAGGCUCUCAGCAUGAUGGUUUGCCUCCUCCUGUGCCCCUGCCCUCCAUACCCUGCCCCUGGGCCUUCUUUCUGUUGGCAGUGCAAAAGGACCACUAUGAGAACCUCUACUGCGUGGUCUCAGGAGAGAAGCAUUUCCUGUUCCAUCCGCCCAGCGACCGGCCCUUCAUCCCCUAUGAGCUGUACACGCCGGCAACCUACCAGCUAACUGAAGAGGGCACCUUUAAGGUGGCGGAUGAAGAGGCCAUGGAGAAG
rnacentral:sRNA from 1 species